AACAGUUGACUCAUUCGAUCUCCGUUGUUUAACUUUUUAAUUUGCUUCGAAGAAACUUAUGAAAGUUACGACUUGUUGGACGUGAAACGUGUAAUGUGUCAUAUCUCUUCUGACUGUCUGGGCAACCAACAUAAGAUUCAAAACUCAUUACCAGAUGGCGUCACUGUCGCCCUUGUUGUUUCUGCACCGUGAAAUGUGGAGAAAUGGGCGAAACAAAGUGCUGCUAUUUUAUACUUAUUUUUCUGUGAUUUCAAAUAUCAAGCUGGACUUCGCAUCUUAUAUGCUUGUAUGCUGUCAUUCCAACAAGUUGGUUUAGCGCUCAGUCACUGUUCAGCAUGAUCCUGAGGAUAUCAAAUGCCUAAAACCCAGGUUUGAAGCCCACACAUAGUGGAAUACAAAUGUUCCGAGAUAGGUACUCUUGCUCAUGAACCACAGGAUCUUUUCGGAAUCUUGCAAUUUUGGUGGUUUAACCUGCAGCAGCUGGUCUUUUGUUAUGGCUGUUUCUACUUCUGUUUAGAAGGCAACUCAGCCGAGGGAUAGAGUUUCAGUGACAUGAAGAGUUUGGAAUGAAUAACAUACCUGCCAUGUGUUAGUAAACAUACCAGAUCUUACACAUACCAGAUCUGCUGGAUGAAAAUCAAAUUAUGCCUUACUAUAUUCAUCACUCAAAUUUUGUCGAAAUUUAUCUCAACACGAGGAGUAAUGCUGUUGGUUGCUGUGAAUGCCAUUUUUACUGUUUUUUCAUCAUGAACAUUUCAGUGUGCUUCUUAGAAAAGUGCUCGCUAGAUCCCCAUCUAUGAGAAGAGUGACUUCCACCACCAACGUUCUACUCCAUCCCUAUCUUCGAGACGCACGCUCAUCUGGCUUCCGUCCUGCUGCUACACAAUUUGUCCUUACUUCAUUGACGAGAUACUGGACCACUUCAGUGAUCGCUUCCGUUCACUAUGACACACCUGUAGUCAUUCACCACUGGAUUAUGCUCAGGAAAUACAGACGUUGAGAAGACGGACACCAAAACAUCGCCGGUCUCCAAAAUGUCAUCGCGGAUCAUCAUGUGUUGUUGGUAAUAUGUGUUUGUUUGUUAGUUAACCCGUUGCUGCCACGCAUUUGUUCCCCCUUGUCGAUACGGUGAUCCAUUCUUGAGGCAUGCAUUCCAUGUUCUCCUAUCACCGUGUCAGCCCGGACUUGUCAGCAAUGGCAAGUCCCUUCCCCCCUUGGUCAUGGAUCCUUCAGACAUGGCUCUUAGUGAGUAGAGAACAACCUACGGGUUGUAUGGCGUGGCAGCCAACGGGUUAACUUAAGUGUAUGUACGUUUGUAUAUGUGUAUCAGUGUAUGUAUGCAUGUAUGUUGUUUUCACUAAACUGUGGAGGAAUUGUGGGUGGAGGUGGGACAAUAUACACAAUUCUCAUAUCA
rnacentral:lncRNA from 1 species